rnacentral:rRNA from 1 species
CUUCCUACGGGACGCAGCAGUGAGGAAUAUUGGUCAAUGGGCGAGAGCCUGAACCAGCCGAGUCGCGUGAGGGAAGACGGCCCUACGGGUUGUAAACCUCUUUUGUCAGGGAGCAAGAACGGAUACGCGUAUCCGAGCGAGAGUACCUGAAGAAAAAGCAUCGGCUAACUCCGUGCCAGCAGCCGCGGUAAUACGGAGGAUGCGAGCGUUAUCCGGAUUUAUUGGGUUUAAAGGGUGCGUAGGCGGACUACCAAGUCAGCGGUAAAAUUGCGGGGCUGAACCCCGGCGAGC